AAAAGGUAUAUUACAGUUGUAUUGUCUCUGUUGCUAUUAUAUUUAUCAGACCACGGUUGUGAGAAAUAUUUUUAUUUUCUUUAAUUGGGUACCGUUUGCGCGACAACGAGGACGUACGGCUUAUAAGGUCGUGGCACAACCGAUGGUCAAAUGUUCAUCUGUUGGAAUUACUCGUGUAUCUCGUUGAGGUGGGUGGUCGAGGAUUAUCUACAGAUACUGUCGAUGAUAGUCCGUUGAGUGGAGCUGUUAGACGAACUAUCAGAAGCACUAUGGUGGAUCUAAAUAUGCCACCUAUGGGUAGUCAGGAGGGGUGUAAUGUUGAAGUUCGUUAUGUUGACUUAAUAGACGACGGUGUUGAAAGUCAUGAUGGUUCUGCUAUCAGAGAUCCGAUGAUGGAUCAGUAUGAAGUUAACCCCGACGACGGAGACGAUGCUGAUGAAGAACCACCUAAAAUUCCUGAUGAUGGUGAUGAGGAAGAAGAGAUGAACUACUACGGUGACACACAAAUCGUCCUUACACAGCCUGUCAUUUCUUAACCAUAUGACCGACCGGAUCAUUUCACGAGGUUGAAUCUUGAUGCAAUGACUUUGAAUUGGUCAUUUACCCAAGGAGGCCCUGAAGAGGAUCCAAGCAACGAGUUUGAGGUUGGACAAUAAUUUAAGAACAAAGAAGAAGUCAUGUUGGCAGUUAAGCAGUACAGUAUCAAGAGGGCUGCGGAUUACAAAAUAGCAAAGAGUGACCAAUUGAGGUACAAUGCACAGUGUAUCCAGUUUGGACCCAGUUGUAAUUGGAGCAUACUCAUAUCAUAUCGCCAAAAGAAAGAAAAGUGGAAGGUUAGGAGAUACACUAGGACUCAUUCUUGCAUGCAAACUUCGAUGGGAUAAUACUAUGAUAGGUUGGAUUCGAAGGUGAUUGCACAACACAUUUUCACGAUGGUCAAAACCGAUCCAAUCAGCAUCAGGGUUAUCCAAGGAGGUGUAGAGAAUUACUUUGGUUACAAGGCGUCCUAUAGAAAGGUUUGGCUUGCAAAACAUAGUCAUUGUUAGAAUAUAUGGCGAUUGGGAAGAGUCAUACAACGAGCUUCCUCGUUGGUUAUUCGCUAUGCAGAUGUACGUGCCUGAUAAAAUUUAUUUCAAGUUUGGUUAUUCACUUUUAAAAAAUUCAGACGUGUACAAUAAGCCAACUAAUUAUGUCUCUUUAGGUACUUGGGUGCAACUAGUGACUCAGCCUUGG